GACGAACGCUGGCGGCGUGCUUAACACAUGCAAGUCGAACGGAAAGGCCCUGCUUGCAGGGUACUCGAGUGGCGAACGGGUGAGUAACACGUGGGUGAUCUGCCCUGCACUUCGGGAUAAGCCUGGGAAACUGGGUCUAAUACCGGAUAGGAGCCAUUUUUAGUGUGAUGGUUGGAAAGUUUUUUCGGUGUAGGAUGAGCUCGCGGCCUAUCAGCUUGUUGGUGGGGUAAUGGCCUACCAAGGCGGCGACGGGUAGCCGGCCUGAGAGGGUGGACGGCCACAUUGGGACUGAGAUACGGCCCAGACUCCUACGGGAGGCAGCAGUGGGGAAUAUUGCACAAUGGGCGCAAGCCUGAUGCAGCGACGCCGCGUGGGGGAUGACGGCCUUCGGGUUGUAAACUCCUUUCGCUAGGGACGAAACUUUUUGUGACGGUACCUAGAUAAGAAGCACCGGCUAACUACGUG
rnacentral:rRNA from 1 species